rnacentral:misc_RNA from 1 species
GAAGUCGGUGACCGUAAGGAGCUGCCUAGGGUAAAACUAGUAACUGGGGCUAAGUCGUAACAAGGUAGCCGUACCGGAAGGUGCGGCUGGAACACCUCCUUUCUAGAGACGAAAAGAAGGACUGGAAAUAGAAGAGUCACAAAGCUCAUUUACUCUCGCUGUUAAUUCAAAAUAUAAAUAAGCAAAAUACAGAGUCUCGUAGCUCAGCUGGUUAGAGUACUACACUGAUAAUGUAGGGGUCGGCAGUUCGAGUCUGCCCGGGACUACUAGUAUGCUUAUAAGGAAAUUCUAGGGGUUGAGAGGUUAUGUAACUCAUAACUCAUAACUAGUAACUCAUCACUAAGAUUGGGGGAUUAGCUCAGCUGGCUAGAGCGCCUGCCUUGCACGCAGGAGGUCAUCGGUUCGACUCCGAUAUUCUCCACUAUCCCGUAAAGGGAAACCGUUCAUUGACAUAUUGAGAUAAAAAAUACAUUUAAAAAGUAGAAAGAACACGAAUUAUCUAAGUGAUUAGAUAAUAAGUAACAAGUACAAUAAGCAAAAUAAGGGCGUAUGGGGGAUACCUAGGC